rnacentral:lncRNA from 1 species
GAUGGGCACAUGUGGCCGAUGAGUGAGUUGCGAAGUGAGAUUGCUGGCGUGCACGGUCCGAGAUUGUAGUGGUCAUAACCGUCGCAAGCGCAGGUCUGAGUGGCCGUCGGUGAAUUGGCAGUGAAGUGCUAUGCCAACUGAAGUGCCUUAACGCUCGAGGAAGUGGCAUAAAGCCCGUGGAUGGCUCUCCGGCACCGCGGCUGGUGAAGUGGCACUGGACUGUCGACGAAGUGGCACUGACGUGGUGAAGUGGUAAGCGCUGAGCGAGCAUUUCGGCGCGUGUCUCCUGACGAAACACGUGGAGGUCUUCGUCUCUCCUUUGGCCUCGGCUCCGGCGAGGGCUCAGUCCUCGUGCGAGGUGCAGGUGCUCCUUCAAGUGCGGCUCUGAGAAGAACUUUUGUUGGAGGAAGGAAGCCAUGCUUGUUCUGCCAUCGUUCUGAAGUCAACGCUACGCUUAUACAUACACAAUGGGAACCACAAAUACAAGGUUGGUCGAAGGGCGUAUUGAAGGGCCUCCGUCAGAAAGGCGUUGCUGGUGUAAAGUAUUUGGUUAGUAGAGUAGUAGUAGUG